AUACGGAGGGUGCAAGCGUUAUCCGGAAUCAUUGGGUUUAAAGGGUCCGUAGGCGGACUAUUAAGUCAGAGGUGAAAUCCCACAGCUCAACUGUGGAACUGCCUUUGAUACUGGUAGUCUUGAGUUAUAUGGAAGUAGAUAGAAUGUGUAGUGUAGCGGUGAAAUGCAUAGAUAUUACACAGAAUACCGAUUGCGAAGGCAGUCUACUACGUAUAUACUGACGCUAAGGGACGAAAGCGUGGGGAGCGGACAGGAUUAGAAACCCUAGUAGUCC
rnacentral:rRNA from 1 species